rnacentral:rRNA from 1 species
CAGUGGCGAACGGGUGAGUAACACGUGGGCAAUCUGCCCUGCACUCUGGGACAAGCCCUGGAAACGGGGUCUAAUACCGGAUAUGACCGUCUUCCGCAUGGUGGAUGGUGGAAAGCUCCGGCGGUGCAGGAUGAGCCCGCGGCCUAUCAGCUUGUUGGUGGGGUGAUGGCCUACCAAGGCGACGACGGGUAGCCGGCCUGAGAGGGCGACCGGCCACACUGGGACUGAGACACGGCCCAGACUCCUACGGGAGGCAGCAGUGGGGAAUAUUGCACAAUGGGCGCAAGCCUGAUGCAGCGACGCCGCGUGAGGGAUGACGGCCUUCGGGUUGUAAACCUCUUUCAGCAGGGAAGAAGCGCAAGUGACGGUACCUGCAGAAGAAGCACCGGCUAACUACGUGCCAGCAGCCGCGGUAAUACGUAGGGUGCGAGCGUUGUCCGGAAUUAUUGGGCGUAAAGAGCUCGUAGGCGGCUUGUCGCGUCGGAUGUGAAAGCCCGGGGCUUAACUCCGGGUCUGCAUUCGAUACGGGCAGGCUAGAGUUCGGUAGGGGAGAUCGA